rnacentral:rRNA from 1 species
ACCUACGGGAGGCAGCAGUAGGGAAUCUUCCACAAUGGGCGAAAGCCUGAUGCAGCGACGCCGCGUGAGUGAAGAAGUAUUUCGGUAUGUAAAGCUCUAUCAGCAGGGAAGAAAAAAGACGGUACCUGACUAAGAAGCCCCGGCUAACUACGUGCCAGCAGCCGCGGUAAUACGUAGGGGGCAAGCGUUAUCCGGAUUUACUGGGUGUAAAGGGAGCGUAGACGGCGCGGCAAGUCUGAAGUGAAAGGCAGGGGCUUAACCCCUGAACUGCUUUGGAAACUGUGGAGCUAGAGUGCUGGAGAGGG